rnacentral:rRNA from 1 species
AUUGAACGCUGGCGGCAGGCCUAACACAUGCAAGUCGAGCGAGCGGCGGACGGGUGCGUAAUGUAUGGGGACUGCCCGAUAGAGGGGGAUAACUACUGGAAACGGUGGCUAAUACCGCAUACUAUCGGAUAACCCAUAUGGGAUUAGCUAGUAGGGGGGGUAAAGGCUCACCUAGGCGACGAUCGCUAGCUGGUCUGAGAGGAUGAUCAGCAACACUGGGACUGAGACACGGCCCAGACUCCUCGGGAGGCAGCAGUGGGGAAUAUGGCACAAUGGGCGCAAGCCUGAUGCAGCGAUGCCGCGUGUAUGAAGAAGGCCUUAGGGUUGUAAAGUACUUUCAGCGGGGAGGCGUUACUCGCAGAAGAAGCACCGGCUAACUCCGUGCCAGCAGCCGCGGUAAUAC